AACGAACGCUGGCGGCAGGCCUAACACAUGCAAGUCGAACGCCUGUAGCAAUACAGGAGUGGCGCACGGGUGAGAACGCGUGGGAAUCUGCCCUUCGGUACGGAAUAACCGCGGGAAACUGCGGCUAAUACCGUAUACGCCUCCGGGAACGGGCAGCUCCGGCGCCGAAGGAUGAGCCCGCGUCUGAUUAGCUAGUUGGCGGGGUAAAAGCCCACCAAGGCGACGAUCGGUAGCUGGUCUGAGAGGAUGAUCAGCCACACUGGAACUGAGACACGGUCCAGACUCCUACGGGAGGCAGCAGUGGGGAAUACUGGACAAUGGGGGAAACCCUGAUCCAGCCAUGCCGCGUGAGUGAAGAAGGCCCUAGGGUUGUAAAACUCUUUCGGCGGGGAAGAUGAUGACGGUACCCCGCAGAAGAAGCCCCGGGCUAACUUCGUGCCAGCAGCCGCGGUGAUACGAAGGGGGCUAGCGUUGUUCGGAAUUACUGGGCGUAAGGGCGUGUAGGCGGCUUGCUAAGUCACGUGUGAAAGCCCCGGGCUUAACCCGGGAACUGCGCGUGAGACUGGUGAGCUAGAAUCC
rnacentral:rRNA from 1 species